rnacentral:rRNA from 1 species
AGUGAACGCUGGCGGUAGGCCUAACACAUGCAAGUCGAACGGCAGCACAGUAAGAGCUUGCUCUUACGGGUGGCGAGUGGCGGACGGGUGAGGAAUACAUCGGAAUCUACUUUUUCGUGGGGAUAACGUAGGGAAACUUACGCUAAUACCGCAUACGACCUACGGGUGAAAGCAGGGGAUCUUCGGACCCUGCGCGAUUGAAUGAGCCGAUGUCGGAUUAGCUAGUUGGCGGGGUAAAGGCCCACCAAGGCGACGAUCCGUAGCUGGUCUGAGAGGAUGAUCAGCCACACUGGAACUGAGACACGGUCCAGACUCCUACGGGAGGCAGCAGUGGGGAAUAUUGGACAAUGGGCGCAAGCCUGAUCCAGCCAUACCGCGUGGGUGAAGAAGGCCUUCGGGUUGUAAAGCCCUUUUGUUGGGAAAGAAAAGCAGCAGGUUAAUACCCCGCUGUUCUGACGGUACCCAAAGAAUAAGCACCGGCUAACUUCGUG